AUUGAACGCUGGCGGCAGGCCUAACACAUGCAAGUCGAGCGGCGCGCCGGACGGGGGAGUAAUGCCAAGGUCUCGGACUGGUAGUGAGGGAUAAGGUCAGGAAACGGGAGCUAAGACCAAAACCUAUUGGAUGAGCCUAGGCCGGAUUAGAGAGUGCGUGGGGUAAAGGCAUACCAUGGCGACGAUCCGUAACUGGUCUGAGAGGAUGAUCAGCCACACUGGAACUGAGACACGGUCCAGACUCCUACGGGAGGCAGCAGUGGGGAAUAUUGGAAAAUGGGCGAAAGCCUGAUCCAGCCAUGCCGCGUGUGUGAAGAAGGUCUUCGGAUUGUAAAGCACUUUAAGUUGGGAGGCGUUACCAACAGAAUAAGCACCGGCUAACUCCGUGCCAGCAGCCGCGGUAAUUC
rnacentral:rRNA from 1 species